UACAGAGGGGGCAAGCGUUAUUCGGAAUUAUUGGGCGUAAAGAGCUCGUAGGCGGUUUGUCGCGUCUGCCGUGAAAGUCCGGGGCUCAACUCCGGAUCUGCGGUGGGUACGGGCAGACUAGAGUGAUGUAGGGGAGACUGGAAUUCCCGGUGUAGAGGUGAAAUUCGUAGAUAUCGGGAGGAAUACCAGUGGCGAAGGCGGCGACCUGGGCCAAUACUGACGCUGAGGUGCGAAAGCGUGGGGAGCAAACAGG
rnacentral:rRNA from 1 species